rnacentral:rRNA from 1 species
UGCGUAGGCGGCCGUGCAAGUCUGGCGUGAAAGCCCCGGGCUCAGCCCGGGAAGUGCGCUCGAAACUGCGCGGCUCGAGUGCCGGAGGGGAGAGUGGAAUUCCUGGUGUAGCGGUGAAAUGCGUAGAUAUCAGGAGGAAUACCGGUGGCGAAAGCGACUCUCUGGACGGCAACUGACGCUGAGGCACGAAAGCGUGGGAGCAAACA